AAACCAAAUGAUGAGUAUUGGAUAAAAAUUCUCACGACGGUCGUCUGAGUCACAUUGAUGCAAAUGUUCCAAUGAUUCUGAUGGGU